rnacentral:misc_RNA from 1 species
UCACGUAAAUUGCUCCCAUGUGAAUGUUAUAGUUCAUUUGUUGUUCUCUCGCAUAGCAUCCACCCACACCUUCGCUCCUUCUCCCUUCUCUCUCGCUCGCUCGCUCUCUAGUGCGUGUGUGAUCACGUGUCGGUGACGCCGGCUUCACCUUUCUUCCUGUAUCCCCUUUUCUCUCUCUGUGUGUGGUGUUUGACAUUUUUCAUUUGCUGUUCGUCCUCCCCCUUCUCCAGUGUCGGCAGCGCGGCAGCUUUGCUAUUCGCACCUCACGUUCAUUUACCGCCCCCCCAUCCAUCCAUCACCGCUUCUCACCCACACAUCAUUCUCCCCCUUCCCCUCCCCCCCCCACACCACCUCCCCUCCUUGUACUUUCUGGUUCUCUUGGUUCUUGUAGCAAGUUGCCACUCCCCACCGCCGCCACAGACACACACACACCACACACACACACACACACACACCCUUCUCACCCCCUCAACACCACCACCGCGCGUACAUCUUUCUUGCUGUGCGUUUUGCUCUCUGUUUUGUCCUGCUCCUCUUUCCUCUCCUCCGUCUUUUUUCCUCCACCCCCCUACCCUCCCGCCUUUACUCCUUCCUCACGCCUUGCAUCCCCGUCUUGCAUCACCCUUCCCGCGUGUCCGUGUCAGUGGUGGUGCCUUGUUAUUGUCUCUCUGUAGUCCGGCGGGAAACGGCGCACGCUCUCUCCGAGCCACCUCUUCCCUUCCCUCCCCCCCACCUCACCCCCUCCUCUCUCUCCAGUCACCACACACGCAUACACGUCCAUACGGAUAUCCAUUGUUUUGCUAAGGGCUGCGCAGCACCCUUGGAGAUUGCAGCAUUCUCUGAGCAUCACGCUUGAGCACACGCGACUCUCUUGAUACCCCUUAGGAUUGGUGCAGCGACUCCUCUCUCUCGUUUCGCGUGGUGGUGUGUACGCCGACAUCUUGUUGAUCGAGACCCUCCCCCCUUACCCUUCCCACCUUCUCCCAGCAGGCGGUGACCGUAUUCCCUCUACCUUCUCUGUGGACGAGAAGAGAGUGAGGAGUGUCCUUUCUCUCUGCCGAUUUUAUCGGUUUCGGUGCUGUGCAAUGAGUGCGCUAGACACAAUGGUGCAGAACGGGCGCAACCACGCGGGUGACGCUAACAACCAUAGCAGCAGCCACACCGAGGAUGGCAAUACGUCUAGAGUCUACUCCCCACCGCGGCUCUCCCCCGCCGUGCCGCCGCGCGGCGUGGACGAAAUAGAGAAGCCGCUCAUCUGCCACUUUUUUCGCAAGCCGUCUACCAUGCAGAUUGGCUUAGCGGGGUGCAACAGCAGUCUCCAUACUUCGCCCAACAGUGGCUCGGCUGCCGGGAGCGGCUUCUAUGGCGCUCGUGGCCAAGAGGCUGCAGCCAGCGCUACCGUGGACAGCAGUGGCGCGAAUGGCCUGUGCGCCGGCGCAACAAUUUUGAGUCCGUCCGCCACUCCAACGCUGCCACCCUUGCCGUCCACGAUGGACGAGCCGGUCGACCUCUUUCCGCUUACGCCGUCCGUGUCCAUGCCGCAGCGACACAGCAAGCGCUCGGGCCGCUUGCUGAACGAGUCCGAGACGAUGCAAGAGAAGCAUGGGCAGGAAUACCGGUUUCUUGUUCCGUGGCUGGCGUACGCAAUCGACUGCACCAUCGCGGCGCAUGAGGUGCUGCGGCAGAAGCACGGGAUACCCGCGCACGUGUCAUCGCCAGCCUCGCCUUCAGCAACCACGCUGAACGGCGCAACUGACGCCGAGCGCUCGCCACGAGGGAGCGUCAACGGUGGCCUCACGUGUGCGAACACGACAGGCAGCAGCAGCAGUGGCAGCGGCAAGGCGACUUUGCCGAGCCCGCAGGCGGAACUCAACGCCUUCUCCACCCGCGAGGUUCCGGCCAUCUCCGUUCACGACUACCUCAAGCGCAUCGUCAAGUACACCUAUGUCUCUCCGUCGGUGCUGGUGUGCGGAUGCCUCUACCUGGACCGGCUGCUCUGCAUGCACCCAUGCAUGCUCCUGCACCCGUACAACGUGUUCAAGCUCUUCCUCACGUCGACCAGAAUGGCAAGCAAGAUCAUGGACACGCGAACACUCAACAACCACGACUUUUCUGUCGUCGGCGGUGUCACAAACGACGACCUCAACGCGCUGGAGUUUCUCAUGGUGGAGCUGUUGCAGAACCGGCUCUACUUCUCACGCGACACCUUCGAUGAGUACUGUCGCCCGCUCCGCCUACAGGCAGCUCACUUGAGUGAAGAAGCAAGCGACUGGGGCAUCGAGACAGCCAUGGAGACGCCAGUCGAGACUCGCUCCGGUGUACAGCACCAGCCGACGCGGCCAUUCCUUGCGCGCUGCAACGGCAGCAACACCCGUAGCCGUCGAUCUAGCAUCCUUUCGCAGAACGAGUACAGCAUAUCGAUAGCUUCGCAGAGCGGCGUGUCACCUCUGCGGUCGGCGUCGCGUCCAGCCUUUCCGCCGAGCGCGUCGACGGCGCGCUCCAUAUCGGUAGACACGGAGUCUAUAGGUCCAGCCCGCGCACCUGCGUCGCGCGGCGGGUCAGCGUCCACCUCCGCUCGGCGUCACCCCCUCGGCACGUCGUACUCACCAGCCCUGCCACACGUGCCGCACGUUGCAGCGAACGGUGGCUCGUCUCCUGCGCUUGGUGCCAUGGGAGGCCUAUCCGGGCGCGGCGCCAGCGGCGAAGACAUGCUUCGUGUAGCGACACACACCAACAGCAUCUACCAAAGCAGCAACGGGGUGUGGACGGGCCAGACUCCGCCGGACUCGGCGACGGUGCUAGUAGCGGUGGAGGAACGAGGCGAUGAGCGAGCGCGCAGCAUUUCACUCUCCGCCCCUCGCUGUGGAGCCGCCGCCUCGUGGGACGCCACUGGCCGCCCGAGCCGCUUGCUGGCGGCGAGCACCGGCACAAUGGCGGGCCUUUGCACAGCGGCGCUCAACGGUGGCCGCGGUGGCUAUGAAAGCUCCCCCAACGUCUGCGCCGCUCCAGCCUACAACGGGGCAGCCACCAGCAGUAGUCGGGGCAUAACCGCCAGUGCUGAAGAUUUCGGGGCUGGUUCGAUGGUGAUAAGCUACAGUGAUCGCACCCCUACUCGACGAGCCUUUUCCCACGCAUCACGUGAGGGGAUAGCUCUGCCACCAGUGGUGCGUAGCGGACGCAGCGAGCGAUCUGCGAGUAUGAUAGGUGUUGCUGCGCAAGGCCAACGUUUACCUCCACCUCCAGAUCAGCCCCGUGUGUAGGUGAUAGGCCUCCCUCCAAUGCUCACCGACAAACACACACACACAAGCACACACACACACACACAAAUGGCUGUGUGUGCUUGUGCGUCUCUCCCCCUCUCCGCGCCGCACCUAUGUCUGAGUGUGUGCACUUUCUUCUGUUGCUGUUAUAAACGUUUGGUAUGGCAGCAUUGGGUAUGCCCCCACCACCCCCCAACACCACUCACCCGCCCACCCACCCUCCCUUCCCCGCUUCUUUGUCGUUCGUGCGCGCGCACGCGUGUGUAUGUGUGCUGGAGCGAAUCUGUUUGCGUGUAUGCUGCUUCCUUUCUUUGGCUGCUGCUACUGCUGCUGUGUUCUUGUGAAUCGCAGUGGUGGUGAUAUUGUUCAUCUCUUUACGUUUCUCCUUUCCUCCUCCCCUCCCACUCUUUCCGUUCCUUCUCUCUCGCAGGUUGUCCAUUGUGCAGACAAAAAUGUCUAAGCGGAGGCGCACACGCAAACGCACGUCGCGCAUGACUUCGUUCGCCAAAAAGGUGUGUCUUUCUCAGUUUCAGAAGAGCCGGGAGGUUCGGGUGUGGAGGGAAGGGGUAGCAAGGAAGAGAAGUGCGUUUGUGGGUGCAGUUCUGGCAUGCUUGUAGAGCGUCACCCCACACACACACACACACACAUAUACCGGCACAAGAAUGUUCUUCUCAACGUAAGCAUCUCUAACUCCCUCUCGCGCGCUUGUGUAUUUUUUCGCUCACCCGCCGUUCCCCUUUCCUCUUCCCCGCCCCUCCCCCAACGCCGUCACCUCCCUCGCUGGCCGCUCACAGCCCUCCCCUCCCUUUCCUCAUCUCACUCUCCCUCUGCCUCUCCCUUCUUUCCUUUUGGUUUUCGGUUCGAUCUCCCACACCCUCACCUGUUUCAGUCCUGUCGUUUCGAGCUGCUCUCCGCCAACACCACUGUCACCUCACGUUUGCUGCAGGGCCGAGAGGAAGGGGGCGAGGGCGACUCCGCUUUUUUUUGUAUUUUGGUGUGUUCAUGUUUGUUUGUUCCUCCCCCUCGCCAAGCAAGCACACACACACAACUGUGGAGUGAAGUGUAGUGCUCCUGUCCUCCGUUCCUCAGCCUCCCUCCUCCACAUUCCGCUCCUGCUCCCUUUUGCUGUUGCUUCCCUGUUGCACACCUCUCUGCCUCUCUGUGCUCCUUCUUUUUCGGCGCGUUCUCUCUCCCAGCUUUUCUUGUCCUAUUCCACAGCAUUCCGAUUCCGGCCCUCCCACCACCCCCCUGCCCCUCUUCCGGGCGCGAACCCCCUCUACGAGUACUCUCAUGCAUUCAGCACCCUCCUCUUCCCCUUCUCUCCUCCAUUACUCACCCACGCGCCCAAUAGCCGCUAUUGCGAUUUCCCGCUAUCUCCCUCUCCAUUUCUCCCCCCGCCACCUCCACGGCCCCCUCCCCCUCCUCUAUACCGGCAGCCACGGCAUUCCGAAGGUGCGUUGGCGCGGUCGCUUCAGAGGGCGAUGCAGCGGCCGGAGAGCACGAGGGGGAGGCCUGAGGGGGUCGACAAGCAAAGCUCGACGCUGUAGCGCGUGUGUCGGCUGAGGGGGGGGGAGGAAGCGGCAGCGAGAGCGUGCAUUGCCCUCCUCUUCCUUUGCUUUGCCUCUCGCAUUGGCGUGGGCGCACUGAUGGCCGCGGACACCUCGGCGUGGCAUGAGGGUCCACUACCCCUCUCCGUAUGGGGAAGCCGAGCAGCCUCGCCCGCCCCCCCCACCUCUGUCAAUGCACAACCACCUCUGGUGGGUGGCAGGGCCAGGUGCCUGCGGCGUAGGGGGAGGCCAGUGCGAUGUACCGCCACUGAUGCCGGCGGUCAGGUCCUGGAUGGCGCUUCAUCGGAGAGAGCUGCGACAGUGAAUACGCUUGCACUAUCCACAUGAUGGGCAGCGUGUCGACGUGACUCGACCGCAUCUCAGUCGGCCCUUGCUGCCCGCUGGUGGGUGAGCCUGAGCCAUCCCAAGCGAUGCGCCAGCUGGCGACCUGCUCAGCGUGGAGUGGCGGGCAGAGUUUGAGGCAGGGGCCGUGCUCCGAUGGCUGAGUCGGCGCAUCGCUGUAGCGCGUGUGCCUACGGCUGCUUCGCACCACGCGAUGGGUGGCGUGUGGGCACAGCGUCCUUUGACCUCACGUUGUGUGCGGCAGCGAAAAGAAAACGGGCAGGCGCUGCGUAGAAAAGAACAACGAAAUUCAGUGGAGGUGUCUGUCCAUGUGUAUGUGUAUGUAUAGGGGAUAUAGGGAUGUGCGCGUGUGUACUACCAGACGAUGAAGAGGGGGUGAGCCUCGCUCUAUCUCCCCCCUCCCUCUCUCCGUUCUCUGCUUCCGUAGUUGCACCUUGGUCGGUUGGUCGGUUUUCAUUUGUUUCAUCGCGAGGGAUUACACGCGGCACACAUACACUGCUGCUUCUUCACGUUCUCUUUCCACAUCCCGUUAUCUGCUGCUGGCACCACCCCAUCUUCCGUGUCUCCCCCUACGUGCCAUUCAAGCCUCCUCCCUUCCCCUGCUGUCUCCCCUCUUUGCUUGAGGGACAUACCGAAUAUGAUGCCGUCUUCUCCCUCGUUUUCUCGACCUCUCUCACACGUAUUCGUACAAGCACGCGCUCCUUUUUUACCCACCCUCACGCGUUGCCAGAAAGACGCGCACGCACACAUGGCUGUGCGGCCCACGCAUUUUCUUUUUGGAGGGGGUCCUCGUGCUUUGCAGACCUCUUUCUUGUGUGCUCCUUGUGUCUCUCUUUCUGUGUGUGUAUGUGUCUCUCUUGACUGUGUGUCCUCACAUUUCUUUUCUGUUCCGUAUCUCCUUUCUUGGCUCUCUCCUUCCCUCACCUCAUCUCCCCCGCUUUCUGUUCUACCCUCUCUUCCUCUCUAUCUCGUGAUGCUGUGCGGAAUGCUUGUGUGUGUUGCUAUCUGUCAUCCCGUGUUGAUGCGAAUUUUAUUUGUGGUUCGUUUCUUUGGGUUCUCGCGGGGGCUGGCUGAGGAAUAUACGUGUAUGUGCAUGUGCAUGUGCAUGUGCAUGUGUGCGUGUGCCUCCCCCUUUCUUUCUCUUCUCGAUUUGUCAUUCUGCCCCUCACCCCCUCCUCUCUCUCUUUCCAUCUAGUGCCCCAUGUUACUUCACCCUUGCCCACUCUCCGUCUCUUCAUCUUCCCGCUACGCCCCCCCCACCCCUGUCUUCCCUCCUCCCGUGUACCUUUUCUCCACUGUCGUCGUUCGCUGGUUGCUUGUGUCGGUGUGCAUGUGGGCUCUUGUCUCUGUUGGUGUUUUUAUGUUUCUUCCCUCUCUCACCGCGCCCACCCGCUCAGACUCUACUCGCUCAGAGAGGCUUCCCUUCAUCUAUCCCCCCACCCACCCCUGCCCGUGUCAACAACAGAGGGCACACACACGCACCGACAUGCACACACACAUUCUUCCCAUAGGCGCUCCCUCUCCCCUCUCCCCUUGUGUUUUGUGCCCCCUCCCCGUCUUGUUUUAUCUGCGUGUAUGCGUGCGUGUGUUUUUACCUUCCUCGCUGUUGUUUCAUUGACAGACAUUGUUUCUUUAUAUCUUUGCCCUUUCCUUAUAUUUGAUGUCUUGUGACACAAAUGUGUGUUAGGUGGGUGCGUGUGCGUGUUGUUUCUCCUUUUCCCGUGUUGCUCCCCUUUUUCUUUGUGAGUUCACCCCACCACCACCACCACCUCUCUCCCCGUCUCUCUUCUUCUUCGCCUCGGCUGUGCCUGUGCUUUCUUCCCGCCCGUAUACGCCUCUAUCUCGAUCCCUGCAUCGACCAAUCUGGCGAUCCUUCGCUGGUGAGCUCUCGCUUCUGUACAUGUGCGUCUGUGUGACAGCACUGCCCCCUGCCCCCUCUCUCUAUAUCUCCUCCCCCCCCCUUGCAUCUCCUCCCUCUUCUUUCUCUCUUUCGCCGUCUUCUCGACAGAUGGAUGGAUCGAGGGUCCUCGCACAGAAGAAACGGCGUGACGCGCGGGGAAGAAGGGGGAGAACCAAGCGUGAGAGGAUUGAGGGAAUGUGGAGGAGGGGAGCAGUAGAAACAAAACAGAUAGCCUAGACAAUGUCACAGCGACGGUGGGCUGAGCUUCGUGGUCUUCUUCCUCUGCUGCGGCUGCUGAUUACAAUAUUGGACUGUUUUCAGUGCUUGCUACAGCAGCCAUCGCUCUCUUUCUUUUUUUCCCUGUGUGAAGGGCUGGGAGUGGAAUGUGUGUAUGUAUGUGUGUGCCCUUGUCCUCCUCUCCCUCUGCCGACGGCGUUGUUGCACGCCUGGUUGUUCUCUUGCUAUUUUCUCGUCUCUCCGUUUGUCUGCUUGUUCGCUUUCUUUUUUGUUGUUCGCCCUCGCCCUCCGUCAUGUGUCGUAGCGGCAGUGGAAGGCACUUGGUUGGAGAUGGGAGGGAGUGAGGGAGCGUGCGUAUGUAUAUGUGUGGAAUUCGGGAUACGGAGAGGGGGAAGGCGGCCGUGCUACGUCCUCACGUGAGGGGGAACUUCUUCCGCACACCUCCCUCUGUGCCCUUACUCCGCCCACCUCCCCCCUUCUCUCGCCCUCCCUCCCUCCCCGCCUCACCCGGUGCGCAAACCUUACAACUCGCGUCGCUUCUCCUUUUUUUGUUGUCGAUACCGCUUUCUUCUUCCACUAUUUGCCCGUAAACAGCAAAGACGUGUUGCUGCAACCGCACCCACACUGAACCACUUCCCUUCCCCUUCUUCGGCUUCAUUCUCGUGUGCUACGCGUGGGUGCGUUUACUAGUGCGUGCGCGCGUUGAGUGCUGGGCUCUCUCUCCUUGGCUUGCCCUUUUUUUCUCUCCCCCUUCCCCCUCCCUCCUCCCCCUUUUCGUCGUGAUCUCGUGUACCUGCCGCUUCCGCCAAUAUGCCUCGUUAAGUUGUUAGUGAUUUGCCUUUCCUCUGUUCUUCGCCUUCUGCGUUGUAUGUACAUCUCUCUGCAUAUGCAUGCGUGUGCGGGUGUGCGGUGUGCACGUCCUUUAUGCUUUCGCUUGCUGAAUUCUCACUUUGCUUCUUGCUCGUCUUCGCGGCUGCUCCCCCCCCCUCUCCCUCCCUCCCUCCCUCCCUCCCUCCCUCCCUUUUUCUUCUGUUCUCCGCUACGUUGCAUACACCGACGUACACACAUAUGGCGACUCCCUCCCUCUCCGCUCUGUCGUCCGCCCUCCCCCGCACGACCCGACCUCUCCCCUCGUGCCACGCAAAGCAUAAACAGGCAAGCGAAAGAAGAGAAAACAGUAGUGAGUGCUUCACGAUGAAGCGACGCGACGCGUUUCUCAACGCUCAGCUGGAGGUGAGGCGGGGGUCAGGCAGGGCGAAGGAGUCAAGGUGGCAGUGGGAGGGGGACCUCAUCGGCCGCGGCAGCGUCUGGGCCACAAGAAAAAGCGGCUGAAAGACUGGCGCAGGUUGUGCGAUGCGAGAACAACGCAAAGAAUUGCGAAGGCGAAGCCGAAAGGCGGGUCUUGACAUGUUGGAGUGGUGUGCGGUGGUGAGAACAAAGAGGAGAGAAGAGGGGGUAUGGGGAGGUGAGCAACAGUGCGAUGGUGCGUCCUUCGACCCGAUCAUGGGUGUGCAUGGAUGGGAUACGUGUCUUUGAUGCGCAUUUCGAAGGCUGUAGCUCCUCCUACACCUUUCACGGCUCCUCCUCCUCUCUUCUUGACUUCUUCAUCCCCGUUCUCGGCUCCCCGUCGUCCACCUCCUCCUCUUCGUUGGUACUUCAUAUUUUUUUCUGUCUGUCUACUGCAGUAUCCAUGGCGUUUUGUAUGUGAUCCUUCUCUGUUGGUUUUCCUUCGACGUUCCUCUCUCCCUCUCUUGUUAUUAAUUUGUGCGCGUGUGUGUGUGCUCUUGUUCCGUGUCCUCAACUUGUGCCACCCCCCCCCACCCACCCACCCCACACAUACCACCGCCUUCUUGAAGUGGCCUCUCCCCCCCUAUCCCUCUCCGCUCCACGUUUCUUCAUUUGUUCCUCCUACGCGUCAGAGAUGAUUUGAGUGAGAGAGACGACAAGGCGUGCUGCUUCCGUGGGGGAUUCGCUAGGUUGGUUGAGUCGCGCGCGCACGGAGGGAUGAAGGAUAACAGCAUGGCACUGCCUUCUCAUGCUUUCUUCCUAGCUUACAUAGACUCUUUCUCUGUCGCCCCCCCCCACCCACCCACCCACCCAGCACCACCUCUCUCCCCUCUCUGUCUUGCGGCUAUGUUUGUUUUUUUCUGGUUGGUGUUGUUGCCUCUUCAUUCUCGCGGACGGUUGCCACUACGACUAGAGAAGCUCCGUCCUUUCCGUCUGUUUUUCGCCCUUUCAUUCCAUGCUCUCUUGCCUCCCCUCCUCCCUUCCUUGCUCUCUCUCUCUUCAGUGUUCUCCGAGUCUCUGUCUCUCCCUGUGGGACCGUUUGCCUUUUCUGUUUUCCUCCCUCCGUCCUUUGAGCUUCAGCCUCUCUCCUCCCUGAUUCCCUAUCAGCGCGUGUGUGUACUUGUUUCUCGUGCUCCUUUUCUGUGGUGCCUACUCCCAUGAUGGCGUAUCUCGCGUUGUGUAUACGCCCCCUCUGUCUCUCCCCCCUCCUCCCCGCUCCUCUCUGUCUUCCCCUCUUAAGCGCUUACAAGAACAAAAAAAUGUCGACGUGUCUCGUGUCUUUGGUUUGGUGUGUUUCUCCCUUCUUCCCCUCCUCCCCCUUUUUGGUUGGUUUGUUGCGCUUCUUUCGGUCUCUCCCCACGCACACUUCUCGUGUGUGUGUGUGUGUGGGGGGGGGGGGGGGGGGCAGGGCAGGACGGGGCAGUCGUCGCUCCUUCUUUUUUGCUGUUGUUGUCAUUUGUUACGUGAGGCGUGGCGCGCAUCCGUGUGGGCUUAUCCGCCUCUUCCCGCCACGCCACGCGCCCGCUUUGCGCAUGCUCGUCUCGUUCUCUCCUUUUGCUGUACGCCUCGUCCUCCGUCCUCGUCCGCCACCACCACCAUCACCACCUCCUCCGCUCUCUCUCUCUUUCUGCUGCCAUCCUCGCCACUGCCUCAUUUCUCUGUCCGCUUUCUCUCACCCAGCGUGUGCCGUUAUGAUCAUCCGUUUGUUUGUUGUCGGCCGAUGCUGGUGUGGAUGGAGCGUGCGUACGCGUGUGAGCGGCUCUGUCACCCCCCUACCUCUAUUGCUCUCUCCCUCCCAUCCCUACUUUCUUCUCCGAGCUCCUACGUGGUAUUACCUUGCGCCCUUUGUGUGGUACUGUUGCUCAUGUUGCCGUUGUUACUGUGCUCCCUCACCUGCUCCUUGCUCGCCUGGGCGCGUGUAUGUGUUUUCUCUAUCCAUCCCUCUCUCGCUCUCACUCGCUUCUCAUGCUUGUGUGCUUGUUUUGGCCUGUCUUCCCUGCGUAUGUAUGUUACACGCACACACACUUCUCCUUGUAUCCCCAUUCUCAUGUUGCCCCCCUCCCUCCCUCUCCUCCUUGUGUAUCAGCAUCUGUGUGUGUGUGUGUGUGUGUGUGCGUGGAGGACUUCACCUCCCUCUUCCUUUCUCUUCUUGCUGAGCCCCUCCCCCUUGUACCCACUGGCCUCCUUCCACUUGUGUCUGUGCUUGCUCGCCUCCUCUCUUCGCUUCUCUGCCUGCCAAGUGUGUGUCCGUGAAGCAGUACGCGGACGCACGCACCCCCUCACCUCCACGGCUUCGAAACACUUACCGGACGACUCCACCUACAGGCGCACAUACGGGUGCGCUAUACGAGCUUCCUCCCCCCUCUUCCCCUUCUCGUCAUGUGGAGCCCUAUCUGUAUGCCGUGACGGCUGGCAGACAGGGAACAGGGACGGAAUCGAAAGGCGAGAGAGAGCGAGAGGAGCAAAUGGCCAGGUUACAGGAGAGACCAUCCGACCCUCAAGAUAAGAGCGUGAGGGUGGUGGUAGUGGUGGAAGGCGCAAGCAUGGCGGCGGGAGAGACGAGAGAGCGAAGAACGCAUCGGUUGUAUCCUUGAGAGUUGACAUGGCAAAGAGGGAGAGAGAGAGAGGCGUGCAUUUUCUUUUUGUUUGCUUACGGCGCCACGACUUCGUGGCUUGACGAGCACAAGGCCAACCAUGCGACAACAACAACAGUAACGAGACGGCAGAUAUGUCGCUUAACCGGCCUCCGAGCACAUGGGUACGAGAGACCUCACCUGCGACUGGAGGAAGGGGGGGUGAAAGACGGGC